GACGAACGCUGGCGGCGUGCUUAACACAUGCAAGUCGAACGGAAAGGCCCUGCUUUUGUGGGGUGCUCGAGUGGCGAACGGGUGAGUAACACGUGAGUAACCUGCCCUUGACUUUGGGAUAACUUCAGGAAACUGGGGCUAAUACCGGAUAGGAGCUCCUGCUGCAUGGUGGGGGUUGGAAAGUUUCGGCGGUUGGGGAUGGACUCGCGGCUUAUCAGCUUGUUGGUGGGGUAGUGGCUUACCAAGGCUUUGACGGGUAGCCGGCCUGAGAGGGUGGCCGGCCACAUUGGGACUGAGAUACGGCCCAGACUCCUACGGGAGGCAGCAGUGGGGAAUAUUGCACAAUGGGCGGAAGCCUGAUGCAGCAACGCCGCGUGCGGGAUGACGGCCUUCGGGUUGUAAACCGCUUUCGCCUGUGACGAAGCGUGAGUGACGGUAAUGGGUAAAGAAGCACCGGCUAACUACGUA
rnacentral:rRNA from 1 species